rnacentral:rRNA from 1 species
ACGGAGCUAGACGCUGAUGAAUAGCUUGCUAGGAAUCUUGUUUAGCUUAGUGGCGGACGGGUGAGUAACGCGUGAGCAACCUGCCUUUCAGAGGGGGAUAACGUUUGGAAACGAACGCUAAUACCGCAUGAUAUUAAAGGGCUGCAUGGCCUGAUAAUCAAAGGAGCAAUCCGCUGAAAGAUGGGCUCGCGUCCGAUUAGGUAGUUGGUGAGGUAACGGCCCACCAAGCCGACGAUCGGUAGCCGGACUGAGAGGUUGAACGGCCACAUUGGGACUGAGACACGGCCCAGACUCCUACGGGAGGCAGCAGUGAGGGAUAUUGGUCAAUGGGGGAAACCCUGAACCAGCAACGCCGCGUGAGGGAAGACGGUUUUCGGAUUGUAAACCUCUGUCCUCUGUGAAGAUGAUGACGGUAGCAGAGGAGGAAGCUCCGGCUAACUACGUGCCAGCAGCCGCGGUAAUACGUAGGGAGCGAGCGUUGUCCGGAUUUACUGGGUGUAAAGGGUGCGUAGGCGGCUUAGCAAGUCAGAAGUGAAAUCCAUGGGCUUAACCCAUGAACUGCUUUUGAAACUGCUAAGCUUGAGUGGAGUAGAGGUAGGCGGAAUUCCCGGUGUAGCGGUGAAAUGCGUAGAGAUUGGGGGGGAACACCAAUGGCGAAGGCGGGCCUACUGGGCUCUAACCGACGCUGAGGCACGAAAGCGUGGGUAGCAAACAGGAUUAGAUACCCUGGUAGUCCAUGCUGUAAACGAUGAUUACUAGGUGUGGGUGGACUGACCCCAUCCGUGCCGGAGUUAACACAAUAAGUAAUCCACCUGGGGAGUACGGCCGCAAGGCUGAAACUCAAAGGAAUUGACGGGGGCCCGCACAAGCAGUGGAGUAUGUGGAUUAAUUCGAUGCAACGCGAAGAACCUUACCAGGUCUUGACAUCCCGCUAACGAAGUAGAGAUACAUUAGGUGCCCUUCGGGGAAAGCGGAGACAGGUGGUGCAUGGUUGUCGUCAGCUCGUGUCGUGAGAUGUUGGGUUAAGUCCCGCAACGAGCGCAACCCUUACUGUUAGUUGCUACGCAAGAGCACUCUAGCAGGACCGCCGUUGACAAAACGGAGGAAGGUGGGGAUGAUGUCAAAUCAUCAUGCCCCUUAUGACCUGGGCCUCACACGUACUACAAUGGCCAUUAACAGAGGGAAGCAAAGCCGCGAGGCAGAGCAAAACCCCAAAAAUGGUCUCAGUUCGGAUCGCAGGCUGCAACCCGCCUGCGUGAAGUUGGAAUUGCUAGUAAUCG